rnacentral:misc_RNA from 1 species
UCCUCCCUCAAACCCCGCGUUUGGUGUUGGACCGCUGUGAGGUUCCGGCCUCACUGGUCCCAAAGACAAUGACGGCGUCCGUGGGACCCCUCUGCGCAACGAGCUUUCACGAGCACGCGCAAAAAGGACCCCGCGGGCCGGUCUCUCCUUUUUACUUCUAA